CCUACGGGUGGCAGCAGUGGGGAAUCUUGCACAAUGGGGGAAACCCUGCAGCAGCAACGCCGCGUGGGUGAUGAAGGUUUUCGGAUUGUACACUCCUUUUGUUAGAGAAGAUAAUGACGGUAUCUAACGAAUAAGCACCGGCUAACUCCGUGCCAGCAGCCGCGGUAAUACGGAGGGUGCAAGCGUUACUCUGAUUCACUGGUCGUACAGAGUGUGUAGGCGGGAUAGCAAGGCAGCUGUUAAAUGCUAUGGGUUAAACAUAGAACUGCAUUUGAAACUGUUAUUCUAGAGUAUGGGAGAGGUAGGUGGAAUUCUAGGUGUAGGGGUAAAAUCCGUAGAGAUCAAGAGGAAUACUCAUUGCGAAGGCGACCUGCUAGAACAUAACUGACGCUGAUGCGCGAAAGCGUGGGGAGCAAACAGGAUUAGAUACCCCAGUAGUC
rnacentral:rRNA from 1 species